CCUACGGGUGGCAGCAGUCGAGAAUCAUUCACAAUGGGGAAAACCCUGAUGGUGCGACGCCGCGUGGGGGAAUGAAGGUCUUCGGAUUGUAAACCCCUGUCAUGUGGGAGCAAAUUAAAAAGAUAGUACCACAAGAGGAAGAGACGGCUAACUCUGUGCCAGCAGCCGCGGUAAUACAGAGGUCUCAAGCGUUGUUCGGAAGCACUGGGCGUAAAGCGUGCGUAGGCUGUUUCGUAAGUCGUGUGUGAAAGGCGCGGGCUCAACCCGCGGACGGCACAUGAUACUGCGAGACUAGAGUAAGGGAGGGGGAACCGGAAUUCUCGGUGUAGCAGGGAAAUGCGUAGAUAUCGAGAGGAACACUCGUGGCGAAGGCGGGUUCCUGGACAUUAACUGACGCUGAGGCACGAAGGCCAGGGGAGCGAAAGGGAUUAGAUACCCUUGUAGUC
rnacentral:rRNA from 1 species